rnacentral:rRNA from 1 species
UACGAACUGUGCAAACGUUAUUCGGAUUCACUGGGCUUAAAGGGUGCGUAGGCGGCCAUGUAAGUAGGGUGUGAAAUCCCCCGGCUUAACCGGGGAACUGCGCCCUAAACUGUAUGGCUGGAGUGAGAUAGGGGUGUGUGGAACUUCCGGUGGAGCGGUGAAAUGUGUUGAUAUCGGAAGGAACGCCGGUGGCGAAAGCGGCCUUCUGGACAGUGACUGACGCUGAGACGCGAAAGCGUGGGGAGCAAACAGG